CUACGUGCCAGCAGCCGCGGUAAUACGUAGGGGGCAAGCGUUAUCCGGAUUUACUGGGUGUAAAGGGAGCGUAGACGGCGAAGCAAGUCUGAAGUGAAAGCCCGGGGCUCAACCGCGGGACUGCUUUGGAAACUGUUUUGCUAGAGUGCUGGAGAGGUAAGUGGAAUUCCUAGUGUAGCGGUGAAAUGCGUAGAUAUUAGGAGGAACACCAGUGGCGAAGGCGGCUUACUGGACAGUAACUGACGUUGAGGCUCGAAAGCGUGGGGAGCA
rnacentral:rRNA from 1 species